CUUCUUUGUUGAAGUUUCCCAUGUGUUCGUUAAUUCUAGUCACUGCUAUUUUAGAAAACUUGUCACAGCUGUGACCAGUGAUUUUUAAGUAGCAGUGACAAAGUCACAGGUACUCAAAUACUUGCCAUCUCUAAUAUGCAGACUUAAAUUGAUCGUCACAUGCGGUGGUGGUGUGCGCUUUCACUGCAUGCUUUGCCCUGGUGUUCAGUCAUCCACUUCUUUUAAUGUAAGUAGGCUUAAAGUCAGAGAAACAGCAGCGCAUGCAGAUCUCUGCUGUGGAUAGAAAUGAAGUUUUUAAUAUGUUAAAAACUAUUUCUGCACAAUUAGAAGCAUUGACGACAAGAGUAUCCAAUAUGAAGAAAAAUAUGGGCAGCUAUAUGAAAGAAAAUAUAAUUCAUAAAAGCGAAGAAAUGGCCCAACAAAAAACUGUGUGCGAAUGUAAGGUUUUAAUUAGAAAAUUCAAAAUUCAGUAUGCCGACUGACUGGUGAAGAAAUAGAUAGUAUGCAAACCGAAGUUGCCUCCACGUUACCAAUAACAACGAUAGCUGCAGCAUUGGAAAUGGACGAGAAACUGAAAUGCGAGGAAUUUGCUACUGCAACGAAACAGUUUAUUUUAAAAACAAAGGGAAAUUCAGAUAAUUUACAUGAU